CCUUUGAGGAAAUAAUCGAUAAAGGAGAGAUGGCUUUCAGUUACCGGGACACCAUGGGCAUCGUGAAAAUACACUCUUAAAAAUAAAUGUUCCUAAAGGGUGUUUUUGCAGUGAUGCCAUAGAAGAAUAAUGUUUGGUUCCCAAAAGAACCUUUCAGUGAACAGUUCCUAAAAGAACCAUUUUGAAGCAAAUUUUAAAAAUCUAAAUAACCAUUUUUGACUAUAAAGAGUCUUUUCUGCAUUUGCAAGGUUCCAUAGAUGAUCAAGGUUUUUCAUAUACUGUAACCACUGAUGGCAAUAAAGAACCUUUAUUUUUAAUUAAUUAAGAGUGUAUGUAUAUCUAUAGGGACAUAUUACAAAAAUCUGGAUGAAGCCGUUUGUCUUCUUCAGGCUUGGUAGAGCAUGAGAAAAGGAGGUGGUAGAAUGGGACGAGGAGUGAGAGAAAGGGCAGGUGCUUUUGUUAGGGAGUGCCCAAUAGAACAGCAGAGGGCAGGGCUGGUCAGAGGAGAGACAUGGAUGUCCAGAGAAUAAAUAAAAGCCUGGCGGGUAAAUUGGCCAGUGGUGCUGCUUUCAACUGAGGCUGCUUGACUCUCACUUCACCUGUGUGCAUUUUUAGCUAUUUGCUAAUAUCAAGUCUAUCUGUCUGUCUGUCUGUUUGUCUGCCAAUAUGCUGGUUCGGGCGAUCCUGCAGACCUCACUGGUCCUGUGGCUGGUACAGAGCACCAUACAAGGAGGAGUUAGGCCACAGACUGGAGCCCUGGGAAAUUUGGCGAGUCGAGGUUAUUUGCACUUUUUCAUUUCUGUGUAUAUAUAGUGUAUUUGUGAGAUAUUAUAGAGGGUUAGAGGUCAGAACAUUACAUCACAUAAUGAGUUUCUUUGUCAAUCCGGCGUUCUAUCUUUUCUCUGUAGGUCCUGGUAUUGGUGUAAAGUCUGGAGGUAAGUCUGUCUGCUUGAACCUGAUGGAUGCUGAUGAAUCCAAUUAGCAAUUUGCUUAUGUGAGUACAAAGGUUAUCUCAUCUUUCUUUGAUUUCUGUACUGUCCUAGGUCCAGUGGCUGGUAUCCUCGGAGUCCGUGGCUAUGGGGCAGGCAAGCCAGGAAAAACAGGUUGUAAGUGACAUUAACCUCUGAUGAAGCUGAGAUGAAAAUAAGUAUAAACAAUAAAUAAAGAUUUACAAUUAACCUUUGACUAAAC
ensembl:lncRNA